CGUGUAGGCGGCCUUUUAAGUUGGAUGUGAAACCUCGUGGCUCAACUGCGAGUGGUCAUCCAAAACUGAAAGGCUUGAGUGAUAGAGGGGAAAGUGGAAUUCCUAGUGUAGCGGUAAAAUGCGUAGAUAUUAGGAGGAACACCAGUGGCGAAGGCGGCUUUCUGGCUAUUAACUGACGCUGAGGCGCGAAAGCGUGGGGAGCAAACAGGAUUAGAUACCCCCGUA
rnacentral:rRNA from 1 species